UACGUAGGGGGCGAGCGUUGUCCGAAGUUACUGGGCGUAAAGAGUACGUAGGCGGCUGAAUAAGUUGCAUCUGAAAGGCGACAGCUCAACUGUCGAAGGUGGUGCAAGACUGUUUAGCUUGAGGCAAGCAGAAGAGUGUGGAACUCCGAGUGUAGCGGUGGAAUGCGUAGAGAUUCGGAAGGAACACCUGUGGCGAAAGCGGCUCACUGGACCAUUACUGACGCUGAUGCACGAAAGCUAGGGGAGCAAACAGG
rnacentral:rRNA from 1 species